UGCGUAGGCGGAAUAAUAAGUCAGUGGUGAAAUCCUGCAGCUUAACUGUAGAACUGUCAUUGAUACUGUUAUUCUUGAGUAUAGUUGAGGUGGGCGGAAUGUGUAAUGUAGCGGUGAAAUGCAUAGAUAUUACACAGAACACCGAUUGCGAAGGCAGCUCACUAAACUAUUACUGACGCUCAGGCACGAAAGCGUGGGGAGCGAACAGGAUUAGAUACCCUGGUAGUCC
rnacentral:rRNA from 1 species